rnacentral:rRNA from 1 species
GAUCAACGCUGGCGGCGUGCCUAAUACAUGCAAGUCGAGCGAACAGAUGAGGAGCUUGCUCCUCUGACGUUAGCGGCGGACGGGUGAGUAACACGUGGAUAACCUACCUAUAAGACUGGGAUAACUUCGGGAAACCGGAGCUAAUACCGGAUAAUAUAUUGAACCGCAUGGUUCAAUAGUGAAAGACGGUUUUGCUGUCACUUAUAGAUGGAUCCGCGCCGCAUUAGCUAGUUGGUAAGGUAACGGCUUACCAAGGCAACGAUGCGUAGCCGACCUGAGAGGGUGAUCGGCCACACUGGAACUGAGACACGGUCCAGACUCCUACGGGAGGCAGCAGUAGGGAAUCUUCCGCAAAGGGCGAAAGCCUGACGGAGCAACGCCGCGUGAGUGAUGAAGGUCUUCGGAUCGUAAAACUCUGUUAUUAGGGAAGAACAAAUGUGUAAGUAACUAUGCACGUCUUGACGGUACCUAAUCAGAAAGCCACGGCUAACUACGUG